CAGCUUCGCAUGAAGCGGUGUGAAAAACUCUGGUGGUAUACGAUGGUUCCGCGUCUGAUUAGCUAGUUGGUGGGGUAAUGGCCUACCAAGGCAACGAUCAGUAGCCGGCCUGAGAGGGUGAACGGCCACAUUGGGACUGAGACACGGCCCAAACUCCUACGGAAGGCAGCAG
rnacentral:rRNA from 1 species